GCCAAUAACAUGUUGGGCGUGCG
rnacentral:siRNA from 1 species